AGGCACAGUCAGCAGUAGCACAAACAAACUUUCCUGAGGAAUCUGUAGAGCAUUGUGUUCUUGCCCACAAGCGCCAGACCAUGUUGCAGGGACACUUAGCGAAGGUGAAGCACCUGUUGCCAAUGUGAAGCCAGUUGAAGAUAUAGUCGGACGGCCAGCAGCCGUUAGAGUUCCUGGCCAGACUGUGUAUGGACAGUUGUUUUUGACGACGAAAGUCACAGAUUAAGCUCCUGCAUGCGUGCAAGCUGCGCAAGAUUUAUUUUUGUUGAUAUCACAAUUAAAUCUAACGUCAAAUGAAAAUUGAAAGCAAUUGAAUGCAGGAAGAGGGCCAUACUCACAAGAAAAUUGAUUUACACCAGACAUAAUUAAUAUUUUCUAAGUGUAAAUAUCACCGAUAGAUUUUUUCAUGGAAAUAUGUUGUCAAUAAAUAUCUUGUUAGAAAUCAAUAAAUCGAAUUCAAUUAAUAAUUUAAAUAUCAAUAAAUAGACUGAUAAAAUAUUUAUAUCAAAUACUGUCAAGAAAGAUCAAAUUAUACGGCAAAUUUAACAGUGAAUGAACAAUUUUUUAAUAUAGAUUUCACGACUUAACUCAUCAAUCAAAUGUUAAAAUAUUUGUUUGAGAUUACAAUAACAUUAUAGAAAGUGAAUAAAAAUAAAAUUAUAACCAAACUAUUUCAGAAACAGUAAAAUGAUGAAAGUAAAAUUAAAAAGAUAAAAAAAAAAGAAGGUGAAAUUGAAAAAAAAAUAAAAAAACAAAAAAAAAGGGGAUCCAUCUAAACCCUAACUUUUUAAAAAAUAAAAAUCAAUAAAGUUAAGUUAUUUCCACUAACAUAACUCAAAUCUUUUUUUAUUAAAAUGUUUAGGUUGCGAACAACAUAACCUAUGUAAUUUCUUGAGAUUGCACUGUUUCCAACAACAAAACUUGCAUAUUUAACUUUUUUUAGUUGUAUUGUUGGGAACAAUUAUUAUACUUUAAGCUAAAUUAUGUGAGGAAAGUCCUAUUCAUCAAGACUCAUUACAUUGUGGAUUGGAGCAGUGCUAGUAAAAUUGGAGCAGUGUAAUGACAGAGCUGUCCUUGCCACAGAGAGUUGCAAAAACUGUAGGAGAAGGGUGGGGUUGUCUUUUUAUUAGGAUGCAUUCGGCAUUGAAGAGAUAGUUUGAGAGAAAACGGUCAGUGCAAAUUUUAGUAGGGCAUGAUGGGGCUGCAGACACCUGGCGCUGGGCUGCCAUGCCCUGCCACAGAGAGUUCAUGUAGGGGGUGGGGUUGUACCCCAGGCUGCAGACACUUGGCGUUGGGGCUGCCAUGCCCUAGGUGCUAAGGCCAGACCCGCGCGCCUGACUGCAGACUCAGGCGAGCGGGGCUGUAAGUCCCAGGCUAUAGACACCUGACGUUGGGGCUGCCAUGCCUUGCCAUAGAGAGUUCUAAAGGCUGUAGGGGGUGGGUGUGGUUUUGCCCCAAGCUGAAGACACUUGGUGCUAGGGCUGCCAUGCCCUAGGUGCUAGGGCCAGACCCGCGCACUGGAUCUGCAGAACCAUGCGCCUGGCUGGGUGCAGACCAGCACGCGAGUCUGCAGACCCCAAGCUCGUGGGUCUGUGAUAUGAUCAAAGAGUUGAUGUCUUAUCCCAAGUGCAGGAGUGUCGAAAUAAUAAAUAACCCGGCAAGACCGGGGUCGAACCACAAGAAGGUGAACUAUAUAAAAUUAUAAAUAAAAGAAAAGAUUUGAAGAGAGCUUUGAGAUGUGAGAAUGAUGUAAGGAUUUAAACAAAGAUAAAACAAUUGUCAAGGUUAGAGGAUCCACUAAUGGUAUUUCAAAUAAGUAUAGUAUAAACUCUUUUUAUUACUUGACUGGAAACCACACACAAAGGAGGUUCCACUCGGAUUAUAAAUUGUUAACAUGAUUACAUUAAUUAUCUUAUUCGAGUAAUGCCAAUACUUUUAAAUAUUAUCAGGUAUUCAUGGUGAUAACUUAUGCUAACAACAACUCAAGUUCUUUUUAUAGCACAGGUGUCGGUUAUACCAUACAGUUGGGCUAUGAAAGUGCCAAGUAUUUAUUUUACCAAGGUUUGUUCAACACAAAUCUAGAUUAACCAUUUAACAAGCGAGGUAUUAAGAGUGAGUAAGAUAAUAAAUAUAAAACAUGUUAGUAUCAAACAUUAAAGUUCAUGUUGAGUUUAUACUAUACUUAUUCUUACACCAUUAGUGUAACCUUUUCACCUUGACAUAAUAAACUUAGCUGAACAUUAAGAAUAAGAGAAACAUAGAUAAUAAACAAGAGGAGAACAUGAUUAUAUAAGUAUAAUAAAGGAAAUGAAAUGCAUAAAUAAGAGAUUAAUGAAAGCAAAACUUAAGCAUUGCAAAAAUAUAAAGAGAGAGAGAGAGCAAGAACAUGAUUUUGAUCUGAAAACCAAGAUGUCUAAAUGCAUGGCAAAUGUCUCCUUUUAUAGGCCAAAAUUAAGAACUAUUGAUUUGAUGACUAAUUGUUGAGUGGGUGGCCACCUCUUGACUUGGUAACCAUCCUUAUCUUCUUGUCUGCAGAAAACAUCAUUUUUAACAUCAGACUUUGAACAGAUAGUCUUCAUGAAAGUUCUGGAGAAUUAUCUCAGCUUUCCAACAAAACAAGAAUGAGGUCAUUUGGAUAUCUAGAACUUGAGAUAUGGGUUGAACACUAAACAGUGUCUAGGCUGCAGGACAGAUUCCGACUUCUCUAUUGUUGCUACAAUUUGAACUUGAAAAUGGUCCUUUUGAAUCUUGGACUCUCUUGAAAGUUUUAGGCCUAUGUCUUAGCUUUCUAUCCAUAUAAACCAGACUUAAAUCCAAGUUCUACAGCUCCAGUUCUGAUCCAAUAACCGAAUAGUGUUCCAAUUUGAAUUCAACCAGCAUCUCUUUUCUAAGCUUAGCCCUCUCUUUGUCUUCUCAAUUUCAGUAGUUAAACUCAUCAAUCAAUCCUUUGAUUUAUGUGAUAGGCCUGCAUUUAAAAUGAACAUUUACCAUAAAUUGAAGGUAUCUUAUAUUAUCAUACUUGUUAUUAUAAAACAUGCUCUAGUUAAGGAGUUAUUGAUACUUCAAGUGCAAAAUGAUGAUAUAAAACCUUGAUAAAAAUAUAUUUUUAAGUACUAAUCAUUCUGGCCCUGACACCCAGGGCAUGACAGCCCCAACACUCGGUGUCUUUAGCUUAGGGCACAGACCAGCUCCCCUGGGUCCGAACCCAUUGGUAAUGUAUCCGUGUCCGGACCCAAUUCUCUUGGGUCCCAUGUCAAGUCCCAAUUCUCUUGGGUCCCGCAUCAGAACCCAAGGAUAAUAGGUCCUGCGGAGGACCCGAUUCUCAUGGUCCUACGUCAGAACCCAAUUCUUUUAGGUCCGGUGUUAGGACCCAAGAUUCUAGGGUCUUAGGUUUCUAAAUAUUAUUAUUUGUAUUAUAAAUAUUGUUAUUUUUAUUAUAAUUAAAACUAUUAAUAUUAAAAAUAGUAUUAUUUGUGUUACAAAUAUUAUUAUUUUUAUUAUAAUUAAUAAAUUUGAAAAAAAAUAUUAUCAAUAUUGAAAGAAACCAUAGAUUUGAUUUGAAGGGUAAAAUUAAAAAUUAUUAUUAUUAUUAUUAUUAUUAUUAUUUUUAUUGUUAUUGUUAUUAUUACCAUUAAUAAAUUUUAAAAAAUACUUCAAGACCCAAUUCUCUUGGGUCCUGCGUCAGAACCCAAGGCUAAUGGGUCCUGUGGAGGAUCUAAUUCCCACGGGUCCUGUGUCAAGACCCAAUUCUCCUAGGUUCGGCAUCAGGACCCAAGGCUAAUGGGUCUUGCAUUAGCACCCAAUGCUCUUGGGUCCGGCAUAAAGAUUGAAUUCUCUUGGGUCUGGGGUCAGGACUCAAGGCUAAUGGGUCCUGCGUCGAGUCCCAAUUCUCUUGGGUCUAGUGUCAGGACCCAAGGGUAAUGAAUCCUGCAUCAGGACCUAAGGCUAAUGGGUCCUGCAGAGGACCCAAUUCUCAUGAGUCCUGCGUCAAGACCCAAUUCUGUUGGGUCCGACGUGAGGACCCAAUGUUCUAGGGUCUUAAGUUUCUAAAUAUUAUUAUUUGUAUUAUAAAUAUUGUUAUUUUUUAUUAUAAUUAAAAGUAUUAAUAUAAAAAAUAUUAUUAUUUUCAUUAUAAUUAAAACUAUUAAUAUUAAAAAUAGUAUUAUUUGUGUUACAAAUAUUAUUAUUUUUAUUAUAAAUCAUAGUAUUAAUAUAAAAAAUAUUAUUAUUUGUCUUAUAAAUAUUAUUAUUUUAUUAUUAUUAAAAAUAUUAUUAUUUGUAUUAUAAAUAUUAUUAUUUUUAUUAUAAUUAAUAUAAUUAAUAAAAUAAGUAAUAAAUUUGAAAAAAAUUAUUAUCAAUAUUGAAAAACAACCAUAGAUUUGAUUUGAAGGGUAAAAUUAAAAAUUAUUGUUGUUAUUGUUAUUAUUAAUAAAUUUAAAAAAUACUAUUAUUACUAUUGAACAAAAACCAUAAUUGUUUUUAAAAGAUUAAAAAAAUAAGAAUUUGGACAAACAAGUGAAAUAUUAUUAUUUAUAUUAUAAAUAUUAUUGUUAGGUCUAGCGUUGUAGUCAGACUCAACGCUUUUAAAUUUUAGAUUUUUUUAAUAUUUUAUAUAUAUAAAAAAAAUUAACUCGUGAUAAAGCGCAGCACCUAACUGGUGCAAGCUAGAGAUUGUGUUGUUAUCAUCUGCAUAAUCUUAUAGGUUGCAUUGGGGAACAACGCUACCCAUCAAAUUUUGUUAUUUCUUUGAGACAUUUUAAGGAUAUGCUAGUUUUUAAAACUUAUGUUUUGGAACGUUCUCUUUGAAAAAACUCCAAGUUGUGCUGCUUAAUUAUUUGUUGUCAACUUUGUUAAGAAAUAUAUGGUCUUUCAAAGAGAAUAUAUCUUAUUUAAUGUUAUUGUUUUUAGUUUUCUUUUACACUUCAACUACUUGAAAUAGAAUAGUGUAAUUAUAACAACUCCUUCGUAUAAAGUAAAUGUCUCCUGUUGCAAUACAACUCAAUAAAGAAAAGAUUUCUAUUCUAUUUUCUUUACAUGGUAUCACGGAACAAUACCCUAGCUUUUAUAUUCCUUUCCUUUUUUGCUGAUACUGCUGCUCAUCAUCAUCAUCAUGGAGGAACAAACUUGAAGGAUAAAGUUAGUACAAAGCUUUUUUCUAUCAUUGGAAUGUUUUGUUUGUCAUCUAAGCUUCGUGUGUUUUUUGCAGCUUAGAUUUGAAAACUUCAUAACAUAUUUAUAUACACUAUAACUUUUAUAGAAGUGUUUGGAUGAAAGUUUUGAAUUAAUGGGAUAUCCAAUGUUGUUUACUGAACACACUAGACUUGCUGCUUCUACAAUGGUCCGAAAUAUUGGUGCCAAACAAAUUUCAAAGAUUAGCUUGGAGACUAAUCUCCAGUAGUAUUUACUGCUUGGAGUAUUUGGUUAUUGAGGAACAAAAUUGUUUUUGAAGAGGGAACUAUAAGCUUGUUUGAUUGUUUCUCCACUAUCCUUUAUUGGGUUACUAUUUAGUUGCAUACUCUGGAUUCAAACUUCACUUAUACAGGAAAUGACCUUUUAAGAUCUUCUGAUGACAUCAAAUUAUGAUGUAAUAAUAAAUCUUAGGUAAUCCUUUUGUUUUUGUUGUAGUAGAUUAAUUUUAUUAUUUUUCCUAAAUUUGUUCCUUUUUUUUUUGUUAUGUUUCUAUAUUUUAUCUUGGAUGUUAACACCUUUUUAAUAUACUCUGGAUAAUUAUAUAUAAAAAAAACAAUUCAUAUCCUAAGACCUCACCUAACAGCUUAAGUUUUUGGGUUGAGAUAGUUCUUUGACAUGACAUCAUAGCCUUGAUGACUAAGCGGUCACGAGAUAUGGUAUCGUAGCCUUGAUGACUAAGCGGUCACGAGUUUAAAUCUCACUAUCCCCUAUUUAUUUGAUAAAAAUUAAGCACAAAGUAAUGUGGGCCUGUGCAAGUUUCAAGCCUAAAGGGCUUUCACUUGAGGGGGUGUGUUGGAGAAUAAUAUAAAUCAUAUCCUAGGAACUCACAUAACAGCUUAAGCUAUUGGAUUGAGAUGAUUUUUUGACAAUAUGCAUGUUACCCAUAAACUUGCUCCUCGUGUUAAAUGUUGUGUUUUUCUCGGUUAUCUGGCUGGUUAGAAAGCUUAGAAGCUUUAUGACAUUCAUGCUCAUAAAAUAUUCACCAUCCGCGAUGUUGUUUUCUAUAAAAUCAUUUUUCCUUAUGAGUCCACCUACCUACUUCCACAAAUAACAAUCAUGUACCCCCUUAUGUUGUCACUACUCCUUUUUGACCGAACAUACCCCUAGUGUUCCAUAACCUCUAGACCAACAUUCUAGACAUCCAUAUUUAAUUUUUGAUGCUACUUCUCUACCACCUUUGCGUCAUUCACAAUGUCACUAUGACCUUCUAGUUGCUUUAUGUGAUUAUAUCUGCAACUAAGUUACAUCUCCCAACUAUUUAUCAUCUACAUCAUGCAGUCCCCAAAAUGGUACAUGUUCUCCUCUUAACAAUUUUGUCUCUUAUCAUCGUUACUCACCACAACAUUACUCCUUCACUACUAUGGUCCAUCAAGAUGUUGAGUCAACAUCUUAUACUGAAGCAGCCACUCAUCCCUAUUGGCAGGAGGCAAUGCAAUCUAAAUUGGCUGUUUUGGAGGCCAAUAAUAUUUGUUCCCUCACUUUUUUUCACCUGGUAAGCAACCUAUUGGUUUUCGUUGGGUUUACAAAGUAAAACGACACUUCAAUGGCACUAUUGAGCGUUAUAAAGAUUGUUUGGUAGCAAAAGACUACACUUAAUUGGAAGAUAUUGAUUACCAUGAUACUUUUUCUCUCAUUGCUAAAAUGACUAUUGUUCAUUGUUUACUAGCUUUAGCAGCUGCACAAGAUUGGUCUCUUUAUCAGCUUGAUGUUCACAACGCUUUUUUUCAUGGUGAUCUCCAUGAAGAAAUUUAUAUAUCCCUACCUCCCGGUCUUCAGCGAAAGGGGGAGAACUUGGUGUGUUCCCUUUACAAGUCGUUUUUAUGAUUUAAAACAAGCUUUAUGAUAAUAGUUUUCCAAAUUCUCUACAACUAUUUAAGUAGCUGGUUUUGUUCAAUCCAAGACAAACUACUCUUUAUUCACAUGUCACAAGGCCAAAACAUUUACAACAUUAUUGAUAUACGUUAAUGAUAUCCUUAUUACCGAGAACAAUGUUACUGCUAUACUAGCUCUCAAAUAGUUUUUGAAUACUCAUUUUCUGAUUAAAGAUUCGGGAAAUUUGAGGUACUUUCUGGGCAUCAAAGUUUCGGUCCAAAACAGGUAUUUCCAUUUCACAACAAAAAUAUACUUUAGAAAUUCUAAAGGAUUGUGGUUUUCUAGGUGUCAAGCCGGUAAAUUUUUCAAUGGAGCAAAACUUGAAGCUCUUAUAAUCAAGUGAUCUACUUAAAGAUCCUUUUUAAUAUAAAUGACUUGUUGGUUGCCUAAUUUACUUGACUAUGACCUUGCCAAACAUUACCUUUUUGGUUCAUGUAUUAAGCAGAUUCAUGCAUGCUCCAUGCAAACCACACAUGAAAGUUUUUUUGCGUGUGAUGCGUUACUUGUAAAGCAGUCCAAGACAAGGUUUAUUUUUUCCUACUCAAAAUAACUUGUCUUUGCGAGCUUUUUCUGAUUCAAAUUGGGGUGGAUGUCUGACAUCAUGUAGAUCCAUUACAGGCUAUUGCAUUUUCUUGGGAUCUACCCUUAUUUCUUGGCGGAAAAGGGGUAGAAAACUAUGUCCCUCUCUUUAGUAGAAACCAAACACAGAGUCAUGACAAGUACAUGCUAUGAAUUAUCUUGGCUACGAUCGUUGCUGUUGGACUUGAGAAUAUUACAUCCGAAGCUAGUAUUAUUGUAUUGUGAUCACACAACAACUUUAAACAUAAAACCAGAAUGAUUUUUCAUGAAAGAACUAGACAUAUAGAAAUGAACUGCUAUUUUACUCAUGACAAGAUACAAGAUGGCUCAUUUAAAACACAACAUGUUUAUUUAGUAGAUCAGCUUGCAAAUGUAUUUACAAAACUAUUAGGAAAUGAAGCAUUCUCAACUAUGAUAUACAAGUUGGGCGUUCUUGACUUUCACUCUCCAACUUGAGAGGAAGUGUUAAGAAAUAUAUAGUCAUUCAAAGAAAAUAUAUCACAUUUAAUGUAAUUGUAUUUAGUUUCCUUUUACACUCAGACUACUUAGAAUAAAAUAGUGUAAUUAUAGCAACUCCCUUAUAUAAAGUAAAUGUCUCCUACUGUAAUACAAAAUAAUAGAGAGAAGAUUUCUAUUCUAUUUUCUUUACAAACUUGUCAUAUACUCUUCAAAGGUUUGGCAACGACACACCAUUGCUCAAGGAUUUUCUUUUCUUUUCUUCUUUUUUGAUAACUUUACGAAUGGAAAUUUGAAUUUUGGCCAAUGUGUACAUAUUUAGAGCCAAUUACCUAUGCUACACUAUGAGUGGAAUUCCAAGUUAUCUUUUAAUAUAAAAAAAUGUUUUGGUAUUGUGAAAGUAUUUUCUUGCAUCAUGAAAAAUUUUAAUUGAGAAUUGAAAAAUUAAUGUGUGUUUAAUGAAAUAAAGCAAAAAUUACAUGAACUAUUAAUUAGUAAAAAUAGUUGUUAAUGACAAUUAAAUGCUAAACUAAAAAGUUGAAAGAUAGAUGCAUAUAAUAAUAUUUGAUCUCGUGAUGUGUGACACUUUCAAAUCUUUCUUUUAUUUAAUUAUAUGAAAAUAAAAAUAAAUUUUCAUCACAAAUAUAAAUAUUAAAAUUUUGUUUAAAAAAUGUAAUCAUUUAUAUAAAUCCCCUUUUCUAUGUAGCUAAAGCUUAAGCUCUGCUCACACUGUUCAUGUUUUUUUAUUUAUUAUUAUAUAUCUAUUCUCGAUUUCAUCAAAAAAAAAAACAAAACAAAAAAAAUAUAAAUCCCCUUUUAUUUUAUUAAUGUAUUUAUUAAAAAAAUAAUAUCUUUAUUUAUCUCUAUUGUUUAUUAUUGUUGCACGUGUGCGGUGUCGUGACGAUCAUCCUUCUAGGUCGUGAUAACCAGGAAAGGUGUAGGAGGAAAGGACAAGAAAUUAUUAGGCGUAUUAAGUGCCUUUCUAACUGGUCUCAGAGUUUGGAAAAUGGAUUAAUUGUGUAAAGCAAAGGUGUUAACACCCCUAAUACGCCUUACCUAAGGUAAGCUGCACUAUUUAUUUAUCUCAUAUAAACUAAGAAAAAAAAUGUGUUAUUUAUCUCAUAUAAACUAAGAAAAAAAAUGUGUUAUUUAUCUCAUAUAAACUAAGAAAAAAAAUGUGUUUUCUAACCAUUGGUUUGUUUAAAGUUUAAGAAAAGUUUUUCUUAAUAAGAAGAUCCUUAUCUUAUCAAAUUAAAAAAAACCUAACUGUUCUAAUGCCAACAAAAAUAAACUAUCUUUUCAUUUAAUGCUAGGAAUAUGUCUUACGUAUAAGUUCAUAAUCCUGUAUAUUAAAAGAAACAAAAAUAUAAUUUUGGUAUUUUUGAAAUGUAGGCCAAAUCCUUUGAGAAUUCACAAACUUGUUGUAAAGUGCAUGGAAUAUUUUUUCUUUAAAAAAAUGUCAAAGUAUUUUAGUUUUUUUUAAAUACUUAAAUAACUUUAGGAUUUUUAGCCAUAUGCAAGAAAAAAUAUUAUAUAUAUGUGUGUGUGUGUGUGUGUGUGAGAGAGAGAGAGAGAGAGAGAGAGAGAUAAACACAAAAACUCAAAAUGUUUUAAACAAAACAGAUAAAAAAUAAAAAAUAAAGAACACGAAGAACAUGAAGAACACCCGAAUGAACCUAGCAACGUGAACUCAAAUUCAAACUAGAUUUCAUGAAAUCAAAAGUAUAUAAAGGUUGAAAAUCAUUCAAGGAUCAAGAAUUAAUGGUUCAUUCACUUCGAUUUUCGUUAAAUCAUCACGAUUUGGUUAAAAUAGGUUUCAGUUCAAAACCAAAACUCUAAGAUUAAAAAUCAUUAUAAACAUAUUAUUGGUGCAAAUAAACACUAUAUUAUUGGUUAUUCAUGCAUAAAAAAGGAUUAUGUGCUAAGAAAUGAACCAAACAUGGUCCGAAUCUAGAAGCUAAGACAAUGUUCUUCCUAAGAACAUGAAAAACAUGCCUAGAAAGUCCAUAAAUUUUCCAGCAAAGCUAGCCUCUACCAAGCCUAAACAUUUUGGACUUCUAAAACAUGCCUUUUUAUUUAUUGAAACAAGUCACAAGCUAAGGAUAAACACCCUUGCAUUAAUAUGCAUAAGUUAAACUAAACCAAAGCUUAAAACAACAUUUACAUAUCAAAAGAAAAACUUAAACAGAAACUUUAAUACAUUAAAACAUAAAAAAAACUUUAAAAUAACCACAUUAAACAAAAAUCAAAAUAAAAAUGAGGUGAAUGCAACAUUACUUGUUAAGCAUUCAAACCUCUUUUUAUGCUUCUACACAUAAACAUAAGCAAAAUAAAUAAUACAAAUAACAAAAAUAGGCCACAAAAGACCUACUUUUAAGUCUGCAAUGUAUACCUAGAACAAUCUAUUCUCUCUUGGCUUUUCUUUGAAAAGUUUUGCCUCUCACAAGCUUACAAAGCUUAAGAAAAACUUGGUUUUUACUCUUGGACCUCUAACCUUAUAUUUUUUUACUGUUAUUACUCUCUUUUUUCUUAUCUUUUCUUAUCCUUUUUUUUCUUUCCCUCUUUUCUCUUUCAGCCUUAAGCAUGUUUGAGGGGGUAUAUAUAAGGUUUUAAGAAGUCUUAAAUCCAUUCCUGACCUCUUGAUUUUGAGAGGAGUGUUGUGAACCCUUGAUAAGGACCCAUUGAGAAGUCUUUUUGUGUGAACACAUGAAAACCAAAUCAUUUUUGUAAGAUAGUUAUGUGUUAAGGCUGGCUGAGUUGUCCACUUUCAAGGCUUCGUUGGAGUAAUUCUGACAUCAUCGUCGCUUGAGAUCACCUCAAUCUGGUAGAGGGGGUGCACACCUUUUAUUUGGAUCCAUUCUUACUUAAUUUGGAGGUUUAUAACUUCACAUUCAUUCGUUCAAAGGUUCUAACCUGAUCAGCCUCAAAUCUGAAAAUUGAGUGAUGGUUGAUCGUGGACAAAAUGUUAGGGACUUUCAUGGAAAAAUUGGGAUGCAAAACAUCUAAUUUCAUGGAAAUAGGGUGAUUAGUACUUAAAAGUGUAUUUUAUCAAGGUUUUAUAUCAUCAUAUUGCACUUAAAAUAUCAUUAAAUUCUCUAACUUGAGCAUGAUUUAUAAUAACAAGUUUGAUAACAUAAGAUAUCUUUAAUUUAUGGUAAAUGCUCAUUUUGAAUGCAGGCAUAUCUCACAAUUUAAAGGAUUGAUUGAUGUGUUUAACAAUUGAAAGUGAAAAGACAAAGAGAGGGCUAAGCUUAAAGAAGAGAUGCUUUUUCAAUUCAAACUGGAACAUCAUUUAGUUAUUGGAUCAUAACUAGAACUGUAGAACAUGGAUUUAGGUCUGGUUUAUAUGGAUAGAAAGCUAAGACAUAGACCUAAAACUUUCAUGAAGAGUCUAAGAUUCAAAACAGCCGUUUUCAAGUUCAAAUUGUAGCAACAAAAGAGAAGUCGAAAUCUGUCCUGCAGCCUAGACACUAUUCAGUGUUCAGCCCAUAUCUCGAGUUCUAGAAGUCCAAAUAAGCUCAUUCUUGUUUUAUUGGAAAGCGGAGACAAAUUCCCAGAACUUUCAUGAAGACUAUCUAUUCAAAUUGUGACGUUAGCAAUGCCGUUUGGUUCAGACAAGAAGAUAAUGGUUGUCACCAAGUCAAGAGGUGGCCACCCACUCAAUAAUUAGUCAUCCAAUCAAUAGUUCUGAAUUUUAGCCUACUACUGUAUGGUAUAAUCGACACCUGUGCUAUGAAAGGAACUUGAUUUGUUGUUAACAUAAGUUAACAUCAUGAAUUCCUGACAAUAUUUAAAAGUAUGGUGUUACUAAAAUAAGAUAAUUAAUAUGAUCAUAUUAAAAAUUUAUAAUGAACUAUUAAGGAUAAAUCAUCCGAUUGGAACCUCCUUUGUGUGUGGUUUCUAGUUGAUUAAUAAAAAACAUUUAUACUAUACUUAUUUCUAAUACUAUUAGUGGAUUCUCUAACCUUGACAAUUGCUUUUAUCUUUGAUUAAUACUCACAUCAAUAUCACAUCUCAAAAGUUCUCUUCAACUCUUCAUUUGUUGUUUAUAAUUUUAUAUAGUUCACCUCCCUGUGGUUCGACCCCGGUCUUGCCGGGUUAUUUAUUACUUCGACACUCCUGCAUUUGGGAUAAGAAAUCAAUCUUUUGAUCGUGUCACAAGGUUGUAGAGGAGAUGUUCCUCUUUCAUUUGCAAAAAAUCUCAUGUCAUUUGGAGGUCUAGAACUCUAGAAUGAGCUUUUGGAAGGUGCCAAUAUGAUCAUCAUGAACUUUCAAGGAAGAAAAUGAACAAAGGCUGAAUAACAUGUCGUCUAGGUUAAAACCCUAGAAAUUAUGGUUUUUAAUUUGGGAUUUGAUAAAGUUUCAAUGUAGUCCCUGUUCUUCUAAUUGCAUGUGAUUUAACCCCCACCAAACUAAAAUAUCAGCCUUUAAGUUGGCCGCCUUUUUUAUUUUGAUCCUUGGUUUUUAAUUUGUGCAUUUUGACCCUCAAUUGACCAAUAAACUUUCAAUUUUUUCAAUUUGGCCCCUAAUUUGGUCAAUUUCAGCUCUAUAUUGACACAACUUUUCUAGUUUGAUUCUUGGUUUUGGAUUUUUUCAAUCAAGUCUCUAUUUGUCCAUUAAACUUUAAUAUUUAAGCAAUUAAACCCCUGAUUAGACCAAAUUAACUCCUAAAAAUUGCAAUUCAACUCCCAAACUUUAAUUUCUUCCAAUUAAAACCUUAAUUGACUUCUAAAAUUUUGUUGCUUGCAAUUAAGCUCUCAAUAAAUUCAAAUAAACCUUGAAAAUUUUUAAUUAAGUCUUUAAACAUCCAAUUUUGAAUUUUCUUUGUUAAUAGGGUUUUCAUCAGUCGAAAAUACAUUGUAAUUGUUUUUUAAUCUUGUAUAUUUGAUCUUCCUCAAUCAAUCUUCAGCAAUUUCCUGGGCGUUCUGGUAUACUCUUCUCAUUGAUAUAUCUUUUUUAUUUUCUUCUAUUUUUUUUCGUAUUCUCUUUACCUUUUUUUUGUUUAUACGGGAUCCCAAAAAUGGAUAACAAUAAUUGCAUAAAGAUUAUAAGCAAUUAAAAUCAAUAUAAAAUUUUAAUGAUAAGAAAUAAGUUUUUAAAAGGUAUCUCAUUAAUCAAAACUUCUUUCUCUUAUUAAGGAGUUCCUUUUUGUUUAAAAGAAUAUUUGCUUAUCAUAAGCUUUAUUUGUUUUAUUUAAAUUCUUAUCAAAAUCUUAAAAGAAAUUUUUAAUAAAAUAAAAUAAUAAAAUAAUAAAUUGAUAAUUUUGACACGAAUUUAUUAGAAAAAUAAUGUAACAAUAAUAAUUUUGAAAAAAAUAUUUAAAAACUCACAAUAAAAGUUUUUAAAAAUAAAUAUUUUUUCCAUAUUUAGAAAAUUAUGCAUAUUAAGUUUAUAAAUAACUAUGAAGAAAGAAAUUGUUAAUAUUACUAUGAAAGAUGCUAAUAUUAUUUUAAAAUAAUGGCAUAAUUGAUCAAUUAUUUAAGCAUCAUUUAAAUUAAUUUAUUUUAAAAUAAUUCAAUUACAAAUGUGAAAAGAGAAAAAACAACGAGAUAACAAUAUGAAGGGCCCUAGCCUACAUGAAACACGUGUAUGGACAACAUGUUAUCUGUCUGAUCUAUAUGAAACAUGAGCGCAAUGGGCUUGGAAACCCAAGCCCACACACCUGUUUUUUUUAAUGGGGUGGAUGUCAUCUACAUCAGUUAUUUUUUUUAAAAAAAAAUUAGGGAUUGGCACAUCGCUCACCUGUCGUCUUUUCCAAUCAUCAAUGGUGCUUUCCAUGAUUAGAAAAUCAAGGUAUAAGUUCAUGAAUAUUAGGAAUCUAGAUUUCAACCUAUUUUUUUAUAUAUAUUUAAAAUCAUUAAAAAAAACCCCACAAACCUCUAUAUCCUCAUUUCUAACAACAAAACACACUGAUAUCAUCACUAACCUAAAACCUCAAAAUCAAAUUAAAUAGAAAAACUUUUCAAGUUGUGAUCUACUUUUUACUGCAACCUUAAAGUUACUGCAACCUUACAGAUGAAAACCACCGCCACCAAGUCCCUCUCCUGAGAAUAGAUAUAUGGACACUAAAAUUAAAGUUUUUGCUGGCCAUAAUUCGGUUACCCAAAAGUUUUAUCUGUCUUCAAAAUUUGAAGAGCUUAAAACUUUCCCAUGCAAUAUGGGCACAAUUUUAAUUCCUGACACCUCAGGUACGAGUAAAAACGAAAUUCAAAAGAGGAUAAAAAAUCCUUGAUAGCAAAAAAAAAAAAAAAAAAAAAAACCCCUUCAAGUACAGUUUUACCGUAUCAACAGCAUAAAAAUUGAUAAUCGAUCCUUUAGGGAUAUUAUUCCAUUUCUUUAUUAAUUAUCAUAAAAACAUUUAUUAAAUGUGUUGUCCUCCAACUCUCUUUCCAUGAAAAGAAAGAGUUGUGAACCACCACAUUUGAUCAUGGACAAAAGGUAAUCAAAUAGUUGCCUCCACUAGGACAAGUAAACGUGCUCGUUUUAUCAUCAUAAGCAUAACUAUAAGCUUGAGGACACUGCUUCUUGAAAGUCGUCGAAUAUUGGUUAGCAGGACAUUUGUCAGGUGUAUUAUACUCUCCUGAGCAGCAGUACUGCGGCUGGUUAAAUGCCAAACACGCACUCUUGCAGGCAAUCACAGUCCCAUCUGGCCUUCUCACUGCUAAACUAGGAUCACAAACAGCAUUCACGUCAGAUGCACAGCUUGUAGAACGGCAGCCAGUAGAACCUCCUUGCGGGGCUACCGAAAUUGGGAUGUUAAAGCCAUCAACAAGGCUUAUAUCGUAAAAAUCUUUCCCACCAUCACCUCUUAGAGUGAAUUCUGCCAAGGAUGCUGGUGGGAUCGCACCGGCUCCAUUGCAUUCUAUGACACCAGAGGCACAGUCAGCAGUAGCACAAACAAACUUUCCUGAGGAAUCUGCAGAGCAUUGCGUUCUGGCCCACAAGCGACCAGACCAUGUUGCAGGGACACUUAGCGAAGAUGAAGCACCUGUUGCCAAUGUGAAGCCAGUUGAAGAUAUAGGCGGACGGCCAGCAGCCGUUAGAGUUCCUGGCCAGACUGUGUAUGGACAGUUGUUUUUGACGACGAAAGUCACAGAUUGAGCUCC
rnacentral:lncRNA from 1 species